CUAACACAUGCAAGUCGAGCGGUAACAGAUCCAGCUUGCUGGAUGCUGACGAGCGGCGGCGGGUGAGUAAUGCAUAGGAAUCUGCCCGAUAGUGGGGGAUAACCUGGGGAAACCCAGGCUAAUACCGCAUACGUCCUACGGGAGAAAGGGGGCUCCGGCUCCCGCUAUCGGAUGAGCCUAUGUCGGAUUAGCUAGUUGGUGAGGUAAAGGCUCACCAAGGCAACGAUCUGUAGCUGGUCUGAGAGGAUGAUCAGCCACAUCGGGACUGAGACACGGCCCGAACUCCUACGGGAGGCAGCAGUGGGGAAUAUUGGACAAUGGGGGCAACCCUGAUCCAGCCAUGCCGCGUGUGUGAAGAAGGCCCUCGGGUUGUAAAGCACUUUCAGCGAGGAAGAACGCCUAGUGGUUAAUACCCGCUAGGAAAGACAUCACUCGCAGAAGAAGCACCGGCUAACUCCGUGCCAGCAGCCGCGGUAAUACGGAGGGUGCAAGCGUUAAUCGGAAUUACUGGGCGUAAAGCGCGCGUAGGUGGCUUGAUAAGCCGGUUGUGAAAGCCCCGGGCUCAACCUGGGAACGGCAUCCGGAACUGUCAAGCUAGAGUGCAGGAGAGGAAGGUAGAAUUCCCGGUGUAGC
rnacentral:rRNA from 1 species